rnacentral:tRNA from 1 species
CGGGCUAUAGCGCAGUUUGGUAGCGCGCGCGGUUCGGGACCGUGAGGUCGUGAGUUCAAAUCUCACUAGCCCGA